AGGCAUGGGCCUUCCAUGCAGGCCAGAGGCAUGGGCCUUCCAUGCAGGCCAGAGGCAUGGGCCUUCCAUGCAGGCCAGAGGCAUGGGCCACCCACAAAGCCAUGAUGAUCACCCUUCAGAGGGACAGCCUUCAAACCAGAUCAGCUACCAAAGCUCCAGCAAUGUGCAGGAUCAGAUAGGAGUCACAAUGUGACAGGACAUUGCCCCUGCACUGUGAGCUGUGUGGGAUGCAAAGCAAGUUGAGAAUAUUUCAGGUUGGAUAUAGGAAAAACUUUCCCAGAAGAGUGGUCAGGAACUGAAACAGGCUGCCUAGGAAGGUGAUGGAGUCGCCGUCCCUGGAGGUGUUCAGGAAAUUCGUGGAUUUGGCACUGAGAUACAUGCUUUGCAGCACUGAGGGGAGCUGCACGACCGUUCAGGGAAGCUGAAGAAAUAGCCUAUGAAAUUCAGCUGAGACUGCAGGUCCUGCUCUGACCCUGAUGCUCUGAGGAUGUAACUAUGGAAAAAUUGCUUGGAAUGGAAUAUGUUUCACAAAUAAAGCAGUGGAGGCUUGUGGUGUUUUGUGUACGUAAUUUGAACUGUGGCAUCAGCCACCAGA